rnacentral:rRNA from 1 species
GACGAACGCUGGCGGCGUGCCUAAUACAUGCAAGUCGAGCGGACGAAUCGAAAGCUUGCUUUUGAUUCGUUAGCGGCGGACGGGUGAGUAACACGUGGGCAACCUGCCCUGUAGACGGGGAUAACACCGAGAAAUCGGUGCUAAUACCGGAUAACACGAAAUGUCGCAUGACGUUUCGUUGAAAGACGGCGCAAGCUGCCGCUACAGGAUGGGCCCGCGGCGCAUUAGCUAGUUGGUGAGGUAACGGCUCACCAAGGCGACGAUACGUAGCCGACCUGAGAGGGUGAUCGGCCACACUGGGACUGAGACACGGCCCAGACUCCUACGGGAGGCAGCAGUAGGGAAUCUUCCGCAAUGGACGAAAGUCUGACGGAGCAACGCCGCGUGAGCGAAGAAGGCCUUCGGGUCGUAAAGCUCUGUUGUCAGGGAAGAACAAGUAACGCAGUAACUGGCGUUACCGUGACGGUACCUAACGAGAAAGCCACGGCUAACUACGUG